AAGUCGUAACAAGGUCUCCGUAGGUGAACCUGCGGAAGGAUCAUUAACACGUGAAAACGUAUUAAUAUUCAUUUCAAACAACCUGUGAAUUUCACCCCUCCCUAUUCAGUUGAUGCUGUUCUAUACAAUAUGUAGUAGGAUAUUAUUGAGGUCUAACCGCCUCUUAAUAUGCAAUUGUACAGAACUAAGGUUUCGAGCCUAAGGUAUCAAUUGUUAGGCUAUUUUUUUCUCCUACUACAAAAACCCUAAACUAACCAAUUUCACCUUUUUAAACUAAUCCGACUGAUCGUAUUGUUGAUGUCAAGAAAUUGACUUGUCAACAACCAGUUUAUCUAAACUAAGCACAACUCUUAGCAAUGGAUAUCUUGGUUCUC
rnacentral:misc_RNA from 1 species